rnacentral:lncRNA from 10 species
AGAGUGUCUUCUGCCCUCUAAUGACCUACCUGCCCCAUGAGCCUCACUCUUCAUUGCCCAGAGGCAUUUGCAUUUACAAAGGAGACAAUUAACUCAUCCAGAGAGGUGCCUCUUAAAUGAUAGAAACGGUUUUCUAGCCAUGAAGAAAUAAAGAUAGUAGCAAUAUAAUAUUCAAACAGGUCAUACUUCUAAUAAAGCCUCAUCUGAUUCAGAAUAGAUAGUCCAAUUCACUGGAUUCAACAUAUCUUUGGAGAAUUUUACAACACAAAAACAUAAUAAUAUUAUAGCAGCUUAUAUUUUAAA